UCCCUGGAGGACUAGUGGUUAGGCCACAGCGCUUAUACAGCGCUUAUACAGCUGUGGCCUGGGUACGAUUCCCGGCCAGGGAA
rnacentral:tRNA from 1 species